GUGAAGGGGCAUCGAGGCAUUUCAUUGCUUUUGGAAGGGGCUUGAGAUUUUGCAUUGGUGCAGACUUUGCCAAAUUGCAGAUGGCUGUGUUUCUCCAUAACUUGGUUACCAAGUACAGGUUCAAAGCAAUUGGAGGAGGUAAUAUUGUUCGAACCCCAGGCGUACAGUUUCCUGAUGGCUUUCACGUUGAGAUCGUGGAGAAAGAGAAGAAGCCCUCCAAA